rnacentral:rRNA from 1 species
AUUGAACGCUGGCGGCAUGCCUUACACAUGCAAGUCGAACGGCAGCACGGAGCUUGCUCUGGUGGCGAGUGGCGAACGGGUGAGUAAUAUAUCGGAACGUACCCUAGAGUGGGGGAUAACGUAGCGAAAGUUACGCUAAUACCGCAUACGAUCUAAGGAUGAAAGUGGGGGAUCGCAAGACCUCAUGCUCGUGGAGCGGCCGAUAUCUGAUUAGCUAGUUGGUAGGGUAAAAGCCUACCAAGGCAUCGAUCAGUAGCUGGUCUGAGAGGACGACCAGCCACACUGGAACUGAGACACGGUCCAGACCCCUACGGGAGGCAGCAGUGGGGAAUUUUGGACAAUGGGCGAAAGCCUGAUCCAGCAAUGCCGCGUGAGUGAAGAAGGCCUUCGGGUUGUAAAGCUCUUUUGUCAGGGAAGAAACGGUGAGAGCUAAUAUCUCUUGCUAAUGACGGUACCUGAAGAAUAAGCACCGGCUAACUACGUGCCAGCAGCCGCGGUAAUACGUAGGGUGCAAGCGUUAAUCGGAAUUACUGGGCGUAAAGCGUGCGCAGGCGGUUUUGUAAGUCUGAUGUGAAAUCCCCGGGCUCAACCUGGGAAUUGCAUUGGAGACUGCAAGGCUAGAAUCUGGCAGAGGGGGGUAGAAUUCCACGUGUAGCAGUGAAAUGCGUAGAUAUGUGGAGGAACACCGAUGGCGAAGGCAGCCCCCUGGGUCAAGAUUGACGCUCAUGCACGAAAGCGUGGGGAGCAAACAGGAUUAGAUACCCUGGUAGUCCACGCCCUAAACGAUGUCUACUAGUUGUCGGGUCUUAAUUGACUUGGUAACGCAGCUAACGCGUGAAGUAGACCGCCUGGGGAGUACGGUCGCAAGAUUAAAACUCAAAGGAAUUGACGGGGACCCGCACAAGCGGUGGAUGAUGUGGAUUAAUUCGAUGCAACGCGAAAAACCUUACCUACCCUUGACAUGGCUGGAAUCCUUGAGAGAUCAGGGAGUGCUCGAAAGAGAACCAGUACACAGGUGCUGCAUGGCUGUCGUCAGCUCGUGUCGUGAGAUGUUGGGUUAAGUCCCGCAACGAGCGCAACCCUUGUCAUUAGUUGCUACGAAAGGGCACUCUAAUGAGACUGCCGGUGACAAACCGGAGGAAGGUGGGGAUGACGUCAAGUCCUCAUGGCCCUUAUGGGUAGGGCUUCACACGUCAUACAAUGGUACAUACAGAGCGCCGCCAACCCGCGAGGGGGAGCUAAUCGCAGAAAGUGUAUCGUAGUCCGGAUUGUAGUCUGCAACUCGACUGCAUGAAGUUGGAAUCGCUAGUAAUCGCGGAUCAGCAUGUCGCGGUGAAUACGUUCCCGGGUCU